GGGGUGUGCAGGAUCCUGGGCUGUGUCCCCCAGCGCCAUGGGAUCCGGAGCCUGUGCUGCUGGAAUCAUGCUCCUAGGCCCUUGCAGCACUCU
rnacentral:pre_miRNA from 1 species